rnacentral:rRNA from 1 species
UACGUAGGGGUGCGAGCGUUAAUCGGAAUUACUGGGCGUAAAGCGUGCGCAGGCGGUUUUGUAAGCCAGAUGUGAAAUCCCCGGGCUCAACCUGGGAAUGGCAUUUGGGGACUGCAAGGCUAGAAUCUGGCAGAGGGGGGUAGAAUUCCACGUGUAGCAGUGAAAUGCGUAGAGAUGUGGAGGAACACCGAUGGCGAAGGCAGCCCCCUGGGUCAAGAUUGACGCUCAUGCACGAAAGCGUGGGGAGCAAACAGGG